rnacentral:rRNA from 3 species
UACGUAGGGUGCAAGCGUUAAUCGGAAUUACUGGGCGUAAAGCGUGCGCAGGCGGUCUUGUAAGACAGGUGUGAAAUCCCCGGGCUUAACCUGGGAACUGCACUUGUGACUGCAAGGCUGGAGUACGGCAGAGGGGGAUGGAAUUCCGCGUGUAGCAGUGAAAUGCGUAGAUAUGCGGAGGAACACCGAUGGCGAAGGCAAUCCCCUGGGCCUGUACUGACGCUCAUGCACGAAAGCGUGGGGAGCAAACAGG